UACGAACCGUCCAAACGUUACUCGGAAUCACUGGGCUUAAAGGGUGCGUAGGCCGCGCGGAGGGUGGGAUGUGAAAUCCCCCGGCUCAACCGGGGAAUAGCGUCCCAAACCGCCGUGCUCGAGGGAGACAGAGGUGAGCGGAACUGAUGGUGGAGCGGUGAAAUGCGUUGAUAUCAUCAGGAACACCAGUGGCGAAAGCGGCUCACUGGGUCUUUCCUAACGCUGAAGCGCGAAAGCGUGGGGAGCAAACGGG
rnacentral:rRNA from 1 species